ensembl:lncRNA
CAAUCAAGGACCCAAAACUUCAAAACUAUGACGCAAAGUAAAACUUUUCUCUUGCUUGGAAAGAUAUAAUAAAACUCAAACAAAGGAACUUCCUUUGGACAAAUGGAGUUAUGGACCCAGAUUUUUCUAAGGGGGCAGCAGAGGUGCCAACCAACUAAUGGACCUGAAUGUAGACAAUGCCAAUACCUGGGGAGAGAAGGGUAAGCCUAGAGGGUUGAGAGAAUCAAGGAGAAUUAUGGAUCCACACAGCAGCACUAGCCCCAAGAAAUGCCCACAUGCACUGUCAACUAAAAAUUCAGUUUGGGGCUUUACUUCAAAGAUGUGAACAAGAAUAUGCCUCAGCUUGAACAGUUGCCACAGUCUGGGGUGUACAGAAAGAGAGGCCUCUGAAUUAAGAGUGUACCUCCAAAAACCUUAGAAGUUACGUGGAGAAAAUUGUGACUUGCUGG